rnacentral:lncRNA from 1 species
UGCACACCCGGUGAGUCGGGGUCAGCCUGGAGUCCCCGUGCUCUGCGCUGCCUGGCUGGUCCCUCACUCACAAGCUCUGGGCUCCAACCUCACAGGAAUAAGGAAGGCCUCCACAAUGCCAAAGAAAUCCUCACCCGCCUGGGAGUGGAGCCAUCUGACGACGACUGUGUCUCGGUCCAGCACGUGUGCACCAUCGUGUCCUUCCGCUCUGCCAACCUGGUGGCUGCCACACUGGGUGCCAUCUUGAACCGCCUGCGUGAUAACAAGGGGACCCCCAGGCUGCGGACCACGGUUGGUGUGGACGGCUCUCUGUACAAGACGCACCCACAGUGAGUCUGCCUUUGCUGUACUUGUCUCUCAGAGUUUUGCAGCCAGUGAAAGGUUUUUUGUUUUUUAUUUUGCAGACAAGGCAUGUCUGGUUCUGGGCAAAGAGGUUAAAUUUGCCCUUUGGGGAGGCUCGCCCUUAGUGGAUUCUCUCUGGUGUUACCUCAAACGCCAUUAGUAUCUUUCCUUAUCUCUAGCUGCAGGGGCGCUGGGCGGAAUGUGUCUGUAGCUCAUCUGCAUUUCAUCAGGAGGAACUUCAUCCUUCUUGUAGUUUAGGUUGUAGGUACGCCACCCAUAUUCUUGUUUCAGAAACUCCUGAUAAAAUUCCCCAGCUCCUUGGCCAUUCCUUUUUUAAGUGAGGAACUUGUCACUUGAGACCAGAGAGAUAUUAAGUAAAUGGUCCCCACUUGCUGCUUUCUUGUCUGUUGGCUGCCUUGGCCAGUCUCCGCUCCAUGGCCAACCUUAGCUUCCAGAGCCUACUAGGUCACUAAGGACAUGACUUGAGCCAGGCGUGGUGGUGCACGCUUAUAUUCCCAGCGACUCGGGAGGCUGAGGCAGGAGGAUCUCAAGUUUAAAGCCAGCCUCAGCAAUUUAGCAAGACUCUAAACAAUUUAAUGAAACUCGGUCUCAAAAAAAUAAUAAAUGAAUAAAAGGGCUGGGGAUGUGGCUCAGUGGUUAAGCACCCCUGGGUUCCAUCCCUGGUAGCAAAGACAAAUUUUAAUUAUUUGUUUGGUAAGUUUUAAGAAUGGACUGCCUAUGGCAUGGGUUUUGUAUACAGGACCGCAGGUAGUUUCCCACUGUGCAUGUAUUUCACACAAAGUGUAUAUUUCACACAAAGUGAUACUGUAUCAGAUACUGUGCCUUCACAUGGUGCUGGUGAGCAUUGGCCCUGAACUCCUGGGCUCCAGUGAUCCGCCUGCCUUGAGACCCCGGGAUUAGAGGCACACACCGGCGCACCAGCUUUUUCUUUGGAAUUUCUUGGCUAAUUUUUGGACAAGAGACCAGGCAUGGUGGUGCAUGCCUGUAAUCCCAGCAGCUUGGGAGACUGAGGCAGGAGGAUCACAAGUUCAAAGUCAGCCUCAGCAAUUUAUUGGGGCCCUAAGCAACUUAGCGAGACCCUGUCUCAAAAUAAAAAAUAAAAAGGGUUGGGGAUGUGGUUCAGUGGUUAAGUGCCCCUGGGUUUAAUUCCCAGUACCCCCCACCCCACCCCUGAAAAAAUUUUCUGGACAAGAAAGCCUAAGGGUUUGCAACGUCACAUGAUUUUGACUGUAGUAAAAAGUAUAUAACAUCAAACAGAUCAUUUAAUCAUCUUGAAACAUGCGGCAUGUUUCAUGAGUUUAUUCUUUUUUUUUUUAAGAGAGAGAGAAAUUUUUAAUAUUUAUUUUUUAGUUUUCGGUGGACACAUCUUUAUUUUAUUUUUAUGUGGUGCUAAGGAUCGAACCCAGCGCCCAGCGCAUGCCAGGCCAGCGCGCUACCGCUUGAGCCGCAUCCCCAGCCCAUGAGUUCAUUCUUAUUGUGCAACGAUCACCAUGAGCUGUAUCCAGAAACGUUUUUCCAUUGCAACUUCACAUUUUAAACAAUGACUUUAAUUCGGUUUUUGCAUCGUUUCUCAUUUCAGAAGUAAUAUUUACUCAGGAUGGAAAUUUGAGAUAGUUUAAAAAGUUGCAAAAAGAAUAGAAGCCCUUCUUCUUCUCUUCCGUUGGAGUCGACUGCUGUUAAUAUUUUGGGAAACCUUUUUUCCUCUUCCCCUUGGCAGCAGCCUCCACACUGCAGAGCGCAAGUUCUGUGUCUUACGCCAUCCUGUCUUCAAGGUCUUUUCCAGCCACUAAGAAUGUACAGGAUUUGGGAGUGGGGAUGGAGGGAAAGAAAGAGCCCAUGUGAAAAUAAAAAAAAAACAAGAGCGAUUAUUUAUUGAGUCCUUCCUCAGUGCCAGUGACUCACAUAAGCAUGUUGAUUACCUUAUUCAGUUUCCAACAGGACACUUUCACACAGAUCCGCAUUUACUCCAAGGUCAAGUUACUAGCUCAAGGUCACUUAUGCGGACAUGGUAGUGCUCACCCUUGUUUUCAGAUCUGACUUUGAAGCACAGUGCUUUGACUAGCAAGGUGGUCUCCUUGACAUGGUGGAGGACAACAUCUCUGGACUUUGAAUUUUUUGUAUUCAUUACUUAUAAAAUAAUGAGGAUCUUUUUAUGGGUGAUUGUGGGCAACUUUGUUUUUCUUUUUUCACACAGAUGAUUAAACCCAGGGUCUAGCACGUGUUAAGCAAGUGCUGACCUACAGCCCUGAUCCUUUUUAUUUUUCAUGUUGAGACAGGGUCUGGCCAAGUUGCUGAGGCUGUUCUUCAACUUGUGAUCCUCCUGCCUCAGCCUCCCAAGUAGCUGAGAUUAAAGAUACGCACCACCAAACCUGGCUAUUUUUCCGUUUUCCUUGUCUGCAUUUGCUUUUUUUUCUACCAUGGAUGUAUAGGACUUGUGUAAUGAAAAAAGCAAGUGUAGAAAUGGAACUAGAGUGUGGUGAAAGAAAGGGGUACCAAGCCGGGCACAGUGGUGUACACCUGUAAUCCAGAGGCUCGGGAGGCUGAGACAGGAGAUUAGCGAGUUCAAAGUCAGCCUCGGCAAUUUAACAAGGUACUAAGCAACUCAGUGAGACACUGUCUCUAAAUAAAAUACAAAAUAGGGCUGUGGAUGUGGCUCAAUGGUUAAGCGUCCCUGAGUUCCAUCCCUGGUACCCCACCCCAUAAAAAAAGAAAGAAAAAUAAAGGGGUACCAGAGGACUGGGGAUAUAGCUCAGUUGGUAGAGUGCUUGCCUCACAUGCACAAGGCCUUGGGUUCAAUCCCCAGCACCACAAGAGGCCCCUGACCGGUGGCUCAGUCCAGCCAUCAUGGCACGCCCACUCCACUUUCUUCCCCAGGUAUUCUCGGCGUUUCCACAAGACCCUGAGGCGCCUGGUGCCCGACUCCGAUGUUCGUUUCCUCCUCUCGGAGAGUGGCAGUGGCAAGGGGGCCGCCAUGGUGACCGCAGUGGCCUACCGCUUGGCUGAGCAGCACCGGCAGAUAGAGGAGACCCUCGCCCACUUUCACCUCACCAAGGAGAUGUUGCUGGAGGUGAAGAGGAGGAUGCGGACCGAGAUGGAGAUGGGGCUGAGGAAGCAGACAAAUGACAAGGCUGUGGUCAAGAUGCUCCCCUCCUUUGUCCGGAGCACCCCAGAUGGGACCGGUGAGGGCCUGUUGGGACUGUCAGGUCCUCCUGCUCAUGACAGUGACCCCAUCACUGCAGAGCUGGGAUGGGGUGGAUCCUCCAGUGGAUGCGUUUGCACUAGUGAUGCCUGAUCUGGCAGGAGAGGGAAGCUCAUUCCGACUCUUCUCCAUUUUUACCACCAGCUUGUCCUGUGUGUGUGGCUCAGGGCUGCUAAAUCCCUCUGGCCCAACCUCCCGGUCCAGCACUGUCUCUAAAGCCAUGUUAGAAUUAGGGAGUUGGUUUCACCGUAGAAGGAAGCUGGGCCCUGAGGUUGUUCUAGGUUGGCUCACAAACAUGGCAAAGUGUCAGAAGAAUCAACACACAGUGCUGCCUUCCUCAGUCCCGGCAGGGUGUGUGUGAAGGAAGCAGGGUCCCUGGGCUUGUCACAUCUAGGCAGAUUGAAGAACACCAUCCAGUGCCCAAUGCCACCUCCAUGGUUCUUAUUGGAGCUGAGCUUUGUGCAGAAUCUGAAGAGCUUUGGGGUGGAUCCUCGGAAUAAUGCGUGUUUGUGAUAUGAAUAUCUUCUGUGUAAGUUACUUAUAUGCACUAAUGAUGCAUGAUUGGCCAGAGCAGGACACUUAGUGGCAUAAACGAGCAAGCAUUUAUUAUUGCUCACGAGUCUCUGUGUCAGCGGGAUGGUUCUGCUUCUCUGGUCCAGGCUUGGCUGACCUCUGCUGGACUCGUUCCUGAGCUGCAGUCAGCUGGACGGUCAGCUGGGAGGGUGACCUGCUGGGGUGCAGGGUGCUUGGCUGCGUGGGUCACCCUCCAGCAGGCUACUUACUGGGCUUGGGCUCUUCAGUGGCAGCAGCAGGGUCCACCUGGAGGCAGAAAAGGACUUUAAAGCCUCUUGGAGGCUGAGGUCAGGACCUGGCUCAGCAGUGCUUCUGCCGUAUUCUGUUGGACCCACGAUCCAAGGGGAGGAGAAACAGACCCCCAUCUUUUGGUGGGAAGGAUAGUGGCUACUUCUGCAAACACUCCACACGUUGACAUGAAUUAUUCAUUUUUGUAUGAAGUUCCCUAAAAUCAGGGCAUCGUUGCAAGUCUUUUUAAUAAGGCUUGUGAAGUUUAUUUGUUAUUGUGACAGGCAGUUCACUCCUGGGGCCUUUUGUCCUUGCAGUGUGACUCGGUGGCUGUGGGCAGUGAUUUAGUACCCACCCCUCCUCAGAGCCCACGCUGUGUACUGGUUGGGUGGUUCCAGCUCCCACCCCCCUACCCCUGUGUGCAACCUGGAGACCCUCCUCUUGCAAUUCUGGAGUCUAGGGCUUGCCAGCUGCCCAGAGGCACGUAGCAGUUUGUGGCAUUCUUUGUGUUCUUUACUCUUAACAGAGCAUGGUGACUUCUUGGCCCUGGAUCUUGGAGGAACGAAUUUCCGUGUCCUGCUGGUGAAAAUUCGUAGUGGGAAAAAGAGAACAGUGGAAAUGCACAAUAAAAUCUAUGCCAUUCCCCUUGAGAUCAUGCAGGGCACUGGGGAAGAGGUGAGUUGGAUCUGCUUUUUCAUGUCUGUAGUGUGUGCACGGCACACACAGGCCUGGAGGUGCCCGUGGUCUUGUGAGGACCAACACCUGCCAGGGAUGCCCCCAGCUGUGCAUUUCUUCCCUUGUGGCCCCAAAGCACUGGGUAUUUUCAGCCUUGCCUGGUCCACAGCGCUCUGGUGGCUGGUAGAUCCUGGAGAAAGGGGCUUGCUCUGCAUGUACCUGUGUGUGUGUGUGUGUGUGUGUGCCUGUUUGUGUUUAUAUGUGUGCCUGUGUGUGUGUGCCUGUGUGUGUGUGCGCGUGCCUGUGUGUGGUGUGUGUGUGUGUGUGCGUGUGCCUGUGUGUGUGUGCCUGUGUGUGUGUGCCUGUGUGUAUGUGUAUCUGUGUGUGUGUGUGUGUGUGCUGAAAGUAUGAAACCAGAGAGAGCCUGGGUGAUCCCUUCUUGUCCCCUACAGCUGUUUGACCACAUCGUCUCCUGCAUCUCUGACUUCCUGGACUACAUGGGGAUCAAAGGCCCCCGGAUGCCUCUGGGCUUCACCUUCUCAUUUCCUUGCAAGCAGACGAGUCUGGAUGCGGUGAGUCUCUUCCUUUGGAAUAAUGAUGGCACCUGCGUGGCCACAGUGGGCUGGCCCUGGAGGCCUUCUCCAGGCUCGUUGUCACCCCUACGUGUCUGCUUCUGGCUUCCAUGGCCCGGAGAGUGUACCCAGGCUUUAUUCUACCCACCCCAGAGCAUCCUGAGCCCUCCUCUCCUCUCGCAUUAUUGACAGCAGUCUCCUCUUCUGGGAAGCCUUUGGGGCCUCCAGGCACCAAGAACCUCCUCACCCUCUUCUGUGUUCCCUGGGGUGUCAGAUGGUGGCUUAAUACAUGCUCAUUUGAUAGAUGAGACGAAACAGGGCCCAGGAGGGGCUGAGGACAGGCUGAGGACUAAGCUCUGAGCACAGAGCUGAGGGUUCCUGUUCCUGUCCUCAGGGAGCUCAUUGCACCGAGGGAUCCGCCUUUCCGCUUGCAUCCAGCACCUGUGCAGGCGGGGCUGGGGUGGCGUGGCUGGGUACAUGCAGGCACAGGGAGUGGGUUGCGCCCUCACCCAGGCAGGACUGAGCCUGUUUCUUGGAAGAGUUGUUAUUCUCUUAUAUUCCAAACAAGUUGGGCAUUGCAAAUGGGGGCGUGGCCACGGAGGGGGCAUCGGGCCAGGGUUUGAGGCAUGAUUGGCAGUGCUGGGAGAGCCAGGGAGGGUGACGUAAUGCCAUCCUGCACUGUGACUUUGGCGCUGGCUCCUCCUAAUUUAGAGCUGAGCAGUUGGAUCUAUAUAAAUGUGUGUUGUUGUUUUUGCAGUUUUUAAAGCCUUAAUGAUUUUUUUCCAAGCAGUUUGCUUCCACUGUCACCUUAUAUUCCUCAUAGUGACUUUGCCUCUGUGGCUUUUUUCCCCCCAGCAAGUGUGCAACUUCCACUCAAUGAAGCUGAGGUUUACUUGGGGUAGUAUAGGAGUUAUUAAGAUCAUGCCUUCUUUCAGUUAGGUAGUCAGUAAAUUCCUCAGGGGAGCUAGUGGGUCAUGCCAUGGCAGCACCAGGCUAAGAUCCUGUGUAAGAAUUGUCCAGUAUGGCCAUUUCUUUAUUUUUUCCUUUCUGAGUGAUACUGGGGAUUGAACCCAGGGCCUCGUGUUCUACACCCCCAACCCCAGUAUUGCCAUUUUCCUAAGGACUUGGACAUAGCCAUUAACUCUAUGUGCUUCAGUUUCUCCAACUGCAAAGAGGGGAUUUUUAAAGCUGCCAGCUGCCGAGCACCAUGGUGUAUGCUCUAAUCCAGCAGCUCAGGAGGCUGGGACAGGAGGAUCAGGAGUUCAAAGUCAACCUCAGCAGCUUAGUGAGGCCCUGAGCAACUCAGUGAGACCCUAUCUCUAAAUAAAAUACAAAAAGAGGGCUGGGGGUGUGGCUCAGUGGUUGAGCGCCCCUGAGUUCAAUCCCUGGUAUCAAAAAAAUUUAAAAAGCAGACAGCUGUGUGUCCAGUAGGUGGGGGUGGGGAGCCUGCAGGGGAAGGGACAUUCUCUUGGCUUGGCACUCGGAUGCUUGGACAUUCUCUGGGUGGGAGUCCUCAGCAGAUGUUGACUUGGGAGGGAGGAGGGUGUGAAACUUUGUCUUCUGCCCAGAAGGAUAAAUGGCCUAACUCUCCUCCUGGUGCCUCUCACAUUUCAGGGAAUCCUGAUCACCUGGACAAAGGGUUUUAAGGCAACUGACUGUGUGGGUCACAACGUAGCCACUUUACUAAGGGAUGCGAUAAAAAGGAGAGAGGUAACUAUCAAAAGAACGUUUUAAAAACUCUUUUGGGGGGAGGGGGGGUGGAUAUAAAAACUGCUUGCUUAUUGUAAACAAUUUGAACAAUAAAGAAGUUUACGAUGUGGGUAAUAUAAGAUCCCCAUUUCCUCACCCAACUGCUGCAUUGAAACGAGGGUUAUAAGUUUUGUGUUGUUAAGAGAGUGAUAUUUUUUAAAAAAUAUUUUUUAGUUGUCUAUGAACCUUUAUUUUAUUUAUUGAUCUGUGGUGCUGAGAAUCUGAACCCAGUGCCUCACACAUGCUAGGCAAGCACUCUGCCACUGAGCCACACCCGAGCCCAGAGAGGUAUUUUUUUAAAGAAAGGUGAAAUCAUGACUGUCAUAAAGAGCUGUCUACAGUGGGGCUUGGCCUGCACUGUCACUAGGACGUCGUGUUCUAUUGAACUCAGUGUACCCGAGUACAAACAUUAGGCACAGUCGCCCUGUUGGCCUGACGGAUUUAGACAGAGUCAUCCAUGAUCAUGUCAGAACUCGGAACAUAGUCAUAGGAUUGUCCCUGCCCCCUGACGGCACCCAUUCUAGAACAAAGCCCUAGCAGAUCACACUGGUUACUGUGCAGCAGUGAACAAGCAGGAUUGGAGCCACCCCUACCCUAAAGCAGUGUCCCUUUUCUUUUCAAAGGAAUUCGACCUGGAUGUGGUGGCUAUGGUCAACGACACGGUGGGCACCAUGAUGACGUGUGCUUAUGAGGAACCCAACUGUGAGGUUGGACUUAUUGUAGGUGGGUGCUCUGGGAAGCAUCUCUUCUUGGUCAAGGGAGAACUGGGUUUUCCUUCUCUCUGGCACCUGGACUCAGUAGCUUGGUCCUCGGUUUGGGACAAUCUGUCUGUACUGUCCCUUUGCCAUCUUUAGAGUUCAGUGCUGGACGAAGACCUCAGAGUUCACUGGAGGGUUAUCCCUCCCCAGGACCCCCAUGGUGCUGCACAUGGAUUGUGAUAGACCGUCAAGAAUGGGGCUUUCCAGAAGAGAGAGUGCAAAGACCCUGUGGCCCGGGUGGACAGGGUGGGGUACCUGGCGCUGUCCUGGCUGGCAGGGCAACACUGUUGGGCUGUAUGGAGGGGCUCCCAGGAGGUGUGGCUGUGGGAGUCAGACUGGAAAGGAAGCAAAAAUCACUUUUUCUCCUGACAAUGCUUCCAGCUGGAAAAGGCCAGAGUGGCCUCAGGUGCCAUUUUACCCUCAGCAGCCACUGUUAGUGAGGGUCCUAGUCACUAAAGAAGGUUACAGAAUGGUUACCUGUGGGUUCUGCAGCCUUUUCCCUUGUAUUCACACAUGGCAGAGGCCUGGGCCUCAGGAGCUUAAAUUUGGGCUGUGAGGAGACCAUUUGUCCAGUGGAUCCGUUCCUAGUGUGAGAAGGCACUGGGCAGAGGCCCCUCACAGCCAGCAUCUGCAGACUCAACUUGGACAGGGAGGAACGUCUCCCUACCUUGGGUACCUUUUGCAGAGUAUCUGGAGAUGACCCCAUCAGGCCACUCUCCUGUGCCAGGAGAACCUUUUGGCUUCUGUUGAAGUUUAGAAAACCAGGAAGCAGCCCCAGGAAAGGCGGGUGAGGGCCUGGCUCAGGGGCUUUAUCUCUUCUUUCUUGAGCAAAGCUCCCUCCACCCAGCCCUUACCUUCCUUCUGCCUGGGGACGGGCUCAGGUAGGACACACAAAGCUAGGGUGACACAGCACAUUCUCCUCUUGCAGACUGGUCUUCACUUCUUCCCUAGGAGCCAGGCCUGUCUGGUUCAGGACAGCUUGGCAUCAGCCAUUUUCUUUCCUCCAUCAAUUGAUUGCUCAAAACCCCCGUGGGCAAGUAUGUCUCCUCCCCUUCCACUUCUUGGGCUUCUCUGCUUUCUGUUUUAUACUGAGAAGCUAGGAACAACAACAACAACAACAAAAAAAAAAACAUAGGAAUCCAGUAACAUCAAGAGUCUGCAGAUGCCACUCAAGUUUCUUCAGCGAGGAUAAAGGUGACCUGGCACUUCUGGUUGGCGGGGGGCAUAUCUGAGUUCACCUAGGUCCCACCUGGGUGUUUCCAGGGCCUUGUUGCUGAAAGUGUGGUCCAUGGAUUGCAGCAUCCCUACCACUUAGGAGGGGCUGGUUAGAAAUGCAGAGCCCUGGGCCCCACCCCCAGACCUCCCAAGUCAGAUCUGCAUCAUCACAGGCUCCCAGGUGAUUCAAGUGCAUAUUGAGAUACCUAUGGGAAGGACUCCUGGGUUGGUUGGUUUUUAAAUUUUCAGUCCAAUGACUAUUACCCAAAGCUUGGUCCUUGUUCCCAAUGCCAAUCCAACAACGAGGACAUGAUUUUAAGAAAAAAAGGACUCCUGUCCCAAAGGCUGGGAGUCUGCCCAUCAUGGGGAACAGGGGGCCCCAAAGUCUGAAUUACUUUGUUCCUGUGGUGGGUGUGUGCUUACGGACAGAUAACUGCCUAGGAUGUGGAAGAAAGGUAAUCUGGUUUCCCCCGAAAUUAGGGAGCAGGAGAGAGAGAGAAGAAGAGAAAGAAACAUGUGCAUUUUAAAAAUAAGUUGCAGUGUCAGGACAGCAAGGGCUAAUUCAGAGCAUAAAGUGGAGCAGUGUCACAUUUCCCCACUGUCCAUUUCCAUAUUCCAUUUCUAUGGAAAACGGAUGAUGACAUCUCUAAGCUGCCUCCUGCUGAGAGAGGGUAAAGUUGGGGGAAGUGACCCAAAUUCUUAUCAGAUGGAGCAUGGACAGUUAAGGGUAUUCAGCAUCGGGGCAGUCCAGAGGGCCAUGGUGACAGUUGAUGGGCAACUGGACAAGGCAUACGUAGGGCAGAGAUGAUGCUAAGACACCAAUAAACAAGACAGCAAAGCAUUACUUUAACAAUUAGCACAAAAGCAAUUGGUAUUUCAGCCAGUCUCUGAAAACAGUAACUCAUAAUCAUAUCAGUGAAAAACAGAUCAAAUUAUCUAUGUAGGAAGUUGGAAGAUUUGUAGGGUCUAGGAGAUCAGGCUCAAAUUGACCCAGGAUAAACUUGGGACUCUAGAGUCCUUUGUGAUCAUUAUUUUUAAUGAGUUCAAUCUCACACUAAGACCCUUCCCUUAUAGUUUUCAGCUUUACUUUUGGCAGGGCUGAUACAAAUAUACAUCUCCAGUAGGAGUCAAAGAUGUUACUAAGUGUCUUCAGUCUGUGAUAAUCUCUGGUGGUAAUAUCUUAUGCACAGAGAUUUGACCGGCCCCAGUAGGAGUGUGCUUUGGCUGUACUCUCCCGCUAAGUGUUUAAGACCAGGUUGGUUAAAACUGACCUUUUUUUCUAUCCACUGUUAAGAAUCAACUGAGAUUCCUCAGAGAUCACUCUUGGGAAUGUGUGUGAAGCCUCUUGGCUCCUUUAACUUUUCUCUGCCAGUGAUGCCACUUACCAGGAUGAGUCAGGGUCCUGCCGACCACCCGUGGCUUCUCUUGGAAGCCUCAGAGACAUUUCCCCCUCCAAUGACCCUCCUCUUUGCAGAAUGUGCACUGGUUGCCUUCUUUUCUCUAGAGUCCUCUUGAUCUCCCUGAUGGGCAGAUUGAGUGACUCACCAGAGUUGCAGGUCCCAUUGUUCUCUGGGUCCUGACUUACCUCAGAGGGCAAGUGCCAAAAUAUUGGCUGCUUUUUCCUUGGCCCUUUUACUUCCUUGACUUUGGUCUCCAAGUUUUUGGUUUUAAACACCCAGCAGGCUAGUUUCACCAGUCUUAAAGUGGGAGUAACAGGUUAUAACUUUAAUAUCUAUAAUUUUAUAGUUACCCCUUUGAAUUAAUUGGAGAUAGUAUCCUGUCUUCCCUGAUGGCUUAUUGUCUCAAAUACAGAAGCAAUAUUUCUGCAAAAUACUAACAGGCAACAAUUAUAAAGUCUUCCAAGGAAAAUAUAAAACAAACACUAAUGUAGCUUUGAUUUCUGAUUAGCCUCUGCAAAUAUAUUUAUCAACUCAAUUACAUACAAGUUUUACUUUAAUUUUUUUUUUUUUUUUUGGCUACUGGGGAUUGAACUCAGGGGCACUCAACCACUGAGCCACAUCCCCAACCUUAUUUUGUAUUUUAUUUAGAGACAGGGUCUCAGUCAGUUGCUUAGUACCUCACUAAAUUGCUGAAGCUGGCUUUGAAUUCACAGUCCUCUUGCCUCAGCCUCCUAAAUCAGUGGGAUUACAGGCGUGCACCACCAUGCUCGGCACAAGUUUUACUUUUUAAAAACUCUUUACAAACCUAAACACCUUUAAAAUUUUACCCAAAACCUUUAAUUAAAUUUUGUAUUACAUUCCCUGUUUACUUUGAGUUCACAGUAAUCUUUACAACAACAAAAAUCCAUUUUUUGAACACAACUUUAAAUAAGCUUAAUUCUAUUCUACUUCAGAACCAUCCCAAAAUGGAGAAGAACAAGAGGCAGAGCCUUAAUUCAAGCCAGGCUGGCCCCUUGACAAAUUUUGAAAAGUGUCUUCUGAAUCUGCUCUUUGCCCCUUUUAAAAAUAUCUUUCUACAAAGUUCUCAUGUAUUAUUUCCCAAGUCUAUCUGAAUCAGUUAACAUAGUACAUUACCGCUGAAACAUAAGCAGAGGUGGAAAGAGCUCUCAACUUCCCUUUUGGGGAAGAGAUGGCAGAAUGUUUUCAUUUUCCACAUUGUCAACCUUUGAAUAAAUCUGGCUCUCCUUAUUACCUUCCAAAAAUACAUUUAAAUUCCCAUCCCAGUGUAACACAAAAUUUUAUAUAUAACUUAUUAACAACGGGUUACCUUUAGCCAGUUAUAAAAUAUUAAAUGACACAAAUUCCAACCAAAUUUGUUAUUUCUUUAUAAAUCUGAAGGAGAUAUUGUACAGACAAUUUUAGUUUGGAGAAUAUCAACUUGGUAAAGUGCUCUCCUAAGCUUUAAAUUUAACUAAGUUUAACUUUGAAUAAAAUUUAGAAUCCACAAUAUAUGGGAAAAAAAUAAUCACAGGUCUGUGUGGGUUAGCAGUAUUAGCAAAAAUCAAAGGAUAGGCGUAAAUCUCUUUAUAUAUUUAGGAAACAGAGGUAAUGAUCAGAAAUUGACUUAGUCAAAGCAAACAGAUAUAAGACAGGUCUUCAAAUGGCAGUGUGGCCCUUCUAUGUCAGAAACAAAGUAUAAAAGAGAACACUUAUUGGUUACCUUGCCCAUAAACUUACAUACACUUUAUUUUAUAACAUAAAAUGAAACAUUAUUCAUUUAUAUGAAUAUGAAUGAUAUUCAUUUCAUUACUUAACACUUAAGUCUCAUACAAACAUAGUUCUCAGAUGUAUACAUAUAUCUAGUCCCAUUAGGGUGUCAACUAUAUUGUUAUAACCUAAAAUAACAGCUGUUUAUUUAACCGGGUAUAACAUAAUCAUUUAAAAGACUUUAAAACAGGUACAAACCCUAAUUCCUUUAAGAUUUAGUUUCCCUAAGUAACAACACCUAAUAGAUACAAGAAAUUAUCUUGACGGAUGAGAGCAGAUCAUUGUUGCAGACCUUGCUUCUUAUCCAUUUGAGAUUUACCUUCCACACAUUCUGCAGCUGACUUAGACAUUCACAACUUGUUUCCAUCCUUGGGUUUGUCCUAUUUUUCUUUUUGGACUUUAGCAUAAGAAUAUUACUUUACCAGACAAAAUACUUUUUUAUCCAGAAACAUUUCCUUUACCUUUGACUUUUUCAUACUAAAAUAUAUUUCCACACCUCUAACUUUCUUAUGUCUCUUUUUUUAGUUUCAGACCCUUUCUUAAAUUCAUAUUCUGAAACAGUCCUUAUUAAUGUUAUCUGUGACUUAAUUUACACAACAGAUUUCAUCCCAGGAGAGGGUUGGACCAUCUGCCUAUACAAAAACUGUGCCUGAAUAUUUUUUCCCCCAGGUGGCAUUCAGAGAGUUGGAGCACAGGAGAGUUUUGACUCUGACCUGUGUCCCUUAUUAGAAUCACAAUGCUAUCAACAUUAAAUGAGUUCCCCACUGUCAGUUGUACCCAGAGCCUCCUUUUAGGCCCUGUUCUUACACGAGGCAUAUUGAUAUCAGUGGAGGAGGCCCUUUCCACCCUUUUCUUUAGCCUUCCUUGAAGAUCCCUGGGCAAAACACAGUUGGUGGGGUUUUUUUUGUUUGUUUUCUUUUCUGGAUGCAGUUGCUUACCAGUCUCCCCAGGCAUUUAGUUUGAUGGGAUACAGUUAUAGCAAGAAUUGCUCUGCCCCAGUGACGGAUAUCCCCUGGCCAAAUGGGGUGUCCUGUCAGAUCUGAAAAGGGGAGGCUCUUCCUUGUCCCUAGGUCAUAAACAGUGCUGGAACCUACUGCCACAUCCUUUGUGGCCAGCAGUCUCCGUCCCCGUGGGCAGAAGGGGCUGGAAGGCAGGGCAGAGGCCAGCUGUCUGUGGCCACUCUUUUACAGCCCAGGCAGCUUUCCUGGGAUUUCCUCCCAGCCCAGGGCUGGUGUCCCGACCCACAUGGAGAUGACCUGGCUGAGAAACGGUGCUGGGAGUGCCAGAAUUGGGUUUAAAGGAUUUAAGUCUUCUUAAACCUUUUCUCCUGGUGUCCUGCUAUCCUUGCACACCAGAGGAAGUGCUUUCGGGAUCCAAAUUAGUUCCUGACCGUUCAGGCUCCUUAUCGUGCAACUGUAUAAAUGCCUGUACACACCAAAUCUCUAUUUUUUUGCCUAUCCUUUACCCACUGACAGACCAACUCCAACUGCAAGAUAGUAUAAUAAUCCAGAAAACCAUUCAAAGGCCAGAUUGUGUUACAGUAAAGCAUCUUUCUCUUAGACGGGCUUAUACCUAUCAGUGACCAAUUCAACCAAGAUUUCUCUUCUCAAGAGACUGCAGGUAAGAUCAGUGCAGUAUGGCCCAUGUCUUAAAGGGCCUGUAACAUACAAAAACACAGAGCCAGACAAAAGAGGAUCACUGUAGCCAUGGCUGACAGACAGGAACCUUUAAAACAGAUAGGCCUGGGCUGGGGAUGUGGCUCAAGCGGUAGCACGCUCGCUGGGCAUGCGUGCGGCCCGGGUUCUAUCCUCAGCACCACAUACAAACAAAGAUGUUGUGUUCACCGAAAACUAAAAAUAAAUAUUAAAAAAUUCUCUCUCUCUCUCUCUCUCUCUCUGUCUCUCAAAAAAUAAAAUAAAAUAAAACAGAUAGGCCUGCACAUAAAAAUUUCUUCCACUUACUUUACCUCUGAUAGACCAACUCCAUCUGCAAGGUCAUAGAGUAAUUCAGAAAGCUGUUAAAAAGCUAUUCAAACAAUUAGAUUGUUACAGUAAAAUAUUAUCUUUUCCUUAGGCAGGUUUAUACCUAUAGGUGGCCCUCUCUUCCACUUACUUUACCUCUGACGGACCAACUCCAAUUGCAAGAUCAUACAAAAAAGAAACAGACAACCAGAAAGGAUUCCCCAAACCAUACCUGACACACAGGAACCUUUAAACCAGACAGACCAGCCAACAUCUUUACCAAGAGACUUCCUAUAGGACCAGCACAGUAUGCCCAUGUCUUAAAAGUGGCAGUAACAGAUUCAAAGAAAAACACAGACAAUUAGAAGGAAUUCCCCAAACCAAGGCCAACAAACAGAUGAGAAGCUAGAACAGACCAGAAGGGAGUAAAUAUCCCUAGGUUCUCAAGUCCUGUUUAACCAUGACUCCUGUACCAGUGGCACCACAGAUGUCCCUACCAAGAGGAAACAGACGUGUGGAAUCAAGGAUCUUGGUGUGUACGCUGGGGGACUGAACAGAUGGCCAAGGGUACUGCGACUACUUGAGUUCACUUUCCUUUUUCCCAAAGUGGACCAAGAUGAAACAAUCUGUACCAUUCAGAGAGAGAAGGCAGGAGUUCUCCAAAGCAAAAUGAGCUUUGGCAGCUGCUGGCAUAGUCCCUCAGUCCCUUGCUCUAGUCAUCAGCUCCUCUGGUUCCACCCGAGACAUAUUACCUGUCUCCUCACUCUCCUGCACUUGGUGCUCAACCAGUUCUCCAGCCGCCUUGCAUCCUCAGAAUGGACGUGGGGUUGCUUGGAGAGCCGGGCCUGCCCAGAAAGCUGGAGUGGGGGCUGCCUUCGUCAGAUUUGUUACCGAAAGCUCAGUCCUCACCCCCAGUGCCGAUCCAAUAACAAGGACACAGUUUUAAGAAAAAGGAAAGAGAAGAUUUAUUGCUUUGCUUGCAAAGGAGAAGCACAGGGGACUCCUGUCCCAGAGGCUGCUGAUUCUGCCCAUCAGGCUUUUAAAGAGGUGACUCAAAAGGCUACAUUCCAUGGUUCUGUGUCCAGAGCUGUAAUUCACUUGUUAAUUUGGGUGAUAGUCAUUUCUGGUGGAGAUCUUCUAGCGCCAUCUCCAAGUCUGAAUUACUUCAUUCCUAUAGUGGGUGUGUGCUCAGGGACAGGUAACUCUGCCUAGGAUGGGGAAACAAAGUAAUUCUGUUUCCCUUGAGAUUAGGGGCAGGGGAUUAGGGAGGAGCCUGGAGAAAGGAAGAGAAAGAAACAUGUCUAUUUAAAAAAUAAGUUGCAGGGGUAGAGCAGCAAGGCCUAAUUCAAAGCAUAAAGUGGACACUCUGACAUGACCGUGAGCCUGGGUAUGUAUCAUGGCAAUUAAAACUGCUGUGAAUGCGUCCUCUCAAUUUCUUUACUUGGCUCCUUGUGGACUGGCACAGAAAACCAUCUGUGGUCCCACCCCAGUUUCGCAUGGCCACUCCGAGUCACCCUGCUGUAGGGAGUUGAGGAGUGGAAACCAGAAGCCCCUGAGCCCUGGAAACCGUAUGUCCGAGGCAUGUGUGCAUUUGUGGGAACACUCAGAGGGCUGUUCCUUCAUCUCUGCAUCAUCAUCAGAUUUUUCAGAAAGGUACCAAAAAGUAAAGAACCAUUGCGUUAGAAAGUUGGGCUGCCUUCUGAAGUGUGUGGAGAGCUUGAGCAGGCAGAGCCCAUCCUGCCAGGAAAGAGGAGUGGACACCUCAGGUGUGGGAGUCGCCGACCCCCAGGUGUCACAUGUGUAUGUAUAUGUGUGUAUAUAUAAGCACGUAUGUAUGUGCACACACAUUUUUUUCUUCAAGCUACCACCUAAACUUGCACCUUUGGAGAUACAUUUCUUUGUUGGAAGACCAUCUUCUAUUCACAUAAAUAUCUCCUUGUCUGUACAGGUCAACACGUGAGGCUCUCGACUUAAAGUGGAUUAGCAGAUGUUUUCUAGGUGGUUUAACUCAGAUACUCCAUUUGUAUCUUGUAUCUUUUCCUGGAAAACAUUGGGAAAGCAAAGGUAUUGCUUUGACCAUCUCAAAAACGUACCCCUUAUCUGUGGACUCCCAGGUUCCAGGCCUCAGGCCAGUUGCGAGACCCUCAACUGGUCUUGGGUGGCAUAGCCAUUCAUUCCCACCCUUGUGUGUUACAGGGACUGGCUGUAAUGCCUGCUACAUGGAAGAAAUGAAGAAUGUCGAGAUGUUGGAGGGGACUGAAGGGCGAAUGUGUAUCAACAUGGAGUGGGGUGCCUUUGGCGACAACGGGAGUCUGGAUGAUAUUAGAACAGAGUAUGACAGAUUGGUGGAUGAAUACUCUCUAAAUGCUGGGAAACAAAGGUAACUGCCAGGUGGAGGUGGUCCCUAAGGGACCGGUGGGGAGGGUCUGGCUAUAUUCCACUGCAGUGGAAGAGGUUUCUAGUAGAAGUAAGGUCUGGACAGAAGCUUGGAGUCUGGUCCCUUUGAUACUCCUGACCUUGACUUUUGGCCUAUGGACAGCAGAGGACCUGGGAGGAUGAGCCCCUGACAGUACAAGAUGGUCCCAGAGUAUGCCCAGAGGAUAGGUGACAGCUAACACACCACUGCCUCAUGACCUGUUUAGGCCUGGACGAGUUUGGCUUUCCCCUGCAUUUCUCCCCCUUCAAAAAAAUAUAUGGGGGUGGAGCAGUGGGUCUGGGUUGAGGCAGAGGCCCUUCCGGUUCUUCCUUCUGGAACCCUGUGAGUCUCCAUCGCCACCUAGUGGCCAUGUGGAGCUUGCAGCUCAGGUUUCAGGGACCUGGUCUGAAAUGGCAUUGGAAAUUAGAUGAAUGACCCUUUGUCUCAAGCCCCCAAGAACUAGUCUGUCCUAGUUGUGUCCCCGGAAGCAGAAAGAAGGGUUGGAUAGCACCUCCCAACAUAAGUUGGUCCCCUGCCGCUCUCAAGGUUUUGCCUUUCCUGAAUACUGCCUAUGUGUUAUUCACUUAGAGUUUUGUUCGUUGGUUUGUUUCCUCUAAUGCUGGGGAUUGAAUCCAGGAGCAUUCUGUCACCGAGCUACAUCCUUAGUCCAUUUUAUUUUAUUUUAUUUAUUUGAUUUUGAGACAGGGACUCACUAAGUUGCCCAAGCUGGCCUUGAGCUUGCGAUCCUCCUGCCUUAGCCUCCCAAGUAGCUGAAAUUACAGGUGUAUCCAUCACACCACCACACCUGGCUUAUUUAAUGUUUUUUAAAAAUCAGCUUAUAUUCUUAAAUUUAAUGGUGAAGGGGAGAAAGGUAAAACCAGUAUCGCCCUAAGUAAAUGCUAAUCGUGGAAUGAAUGUAGUGAAGAACUGUUAUUCAGUUCUAGCUAGUUCUCAUGCUCUGCUAAAGCCUCUAAACCAAGACUGCCUUUGUUGAAAGGUGAUCAGCAAGUGUUAGCAGGGCUCAAAGACACUUCAGCAGUAAGCUGAGAUUGUCCCCUUGAUGCAGUGAGAAGGGCUGGAUGGGGACCAUGGUGAUACCCACACUUUCUGCCAUUCUCUGCUGUUCCACAUAUUUUCUGUGGACCACAUGAAAUCUUCCCAAAUAUUCUGGAAUAUCCAGAUUCUCAGCUUGGGGAUCCUGGGCCUGGGUGUGUGCCAUGGAGGCAUCUAAAUCCCUAGUCAUUUCUUGAGGCCCUUGAACCUGGAAAGGGCAGGAAAUUAAAAGUCCCAAGAACAGGGUGACCUCGAGCAUUGUGGCCACUGAAUUCUCCUACCUGUGUGGCUUAUCACUCUGCUGUGUGCUUGACCAGCACUGUGCCAUUUGCAAAACCUUCAGAAAACUGAGGAAUUUUUCCCUCCGUGGUCCUCUUGUCCCUUUAAGGCUCCGUCCAGUCAUGUGCUUGUUCUGCAGCUUUGUACUGAGCACAUAGCUGAGGGCCUGGCAUGGUGCCAUGCUGUGCCCUCGGGACUCAGAGCUGAGCAAUAUGCACACUCCCUGUCCCUCCUAGGCGGUGGGCCUGUGUCAUUGUGGAGAAGGAGAAGGGCGAGGUGCAAGGGAGCCUGGCAUAGGAAGGUAGAGCCAGUCUGGGGGGCAUGUCCUCCAGGACAUGGCAUCUGGCUGAGAUUCACCCAGGCAAGCGCAGGAGGUCAGCAGGGAGGUGACCACUGAGCAGCAAGGCAUGAAUGCUGCGGGGUGGUGUCUGAUGUGGAGAGGGCGGAGGGUUCCGUGGUCCUUCCUGGUCUUUGCCUCAGCUGGGGAGCACAGGGCAGGUGUGCGACCCAGAAAGACCCUGAGAGCAAGGGCUCCUGGGAAGGACACUGCAGCCCCCUUCCUCCUGUGGCAGGUAUGAGAAGAUGAUUAGUGGUAUGUACCUGGGUGAAAUUGUCCGCAACAUCUUGAUCGACUUCACCAAGAAGGGAUUCCUCUUCCGAGGGCAGAUCUCUGAGCCGCUGAAGACCAGGGGCAUCUUUGA